UGAGGAAUAUUGGACAAUGGGCGCAAGCCUGAUCCAGCCAUGCCGCGUGCAGGAAGAAGCAUCUAUGGUGUGUAAACUGCUUUUGUACGGGAAGAAACACUCCUUCGUGAAGGAGCUUGACGGUACCGUAAGAAUAAGGAUCGGCUAACUCCGUGCCAGCAGCCGCGGUAAUACGGAGGAUCCAAGCGUUAUCCGGAAUCAUUGGGUUUAAAGGGUCCGUAGGCGGUUUAGUAAGUCAGUGGUGAAAGCCCAUCGCUCAACGAUGGAACGGCCAUUGGUACUGCUAGACUUGAAUUACAAGGAAGUAACUAGAAUAUGUAGUGUAGCGGUGAAAUGCUUAGAUAUUACAUGGAAUACCAAUUGCGAAGGCAGGUUACUACUUGUGGAUUGACGCUGAUGGACGAAAGCGUGGGUAGCGAACA
rnacentral:rRNA from 1 species